rnacentral:rRNA from 1 species
CGUCUAUAUACGUAUAGCAUAUCAAUAAGCGGAGGAAAAGAAACUAACAAGGAUUCCCUUAGUAACGGCGAGUGAAGCGGGAAGAGCUCAAAUUUGAAAUCUUCAAGGUUUUACCUUGACGAAUUGUAGUUUAAAGAAGUGUUUUCUGUUGGAGUUUUGGUAAAAGUUCUUUGGAAUAGGACAUCAUAGAGGGUGAGAAUCCCGUAUUUGACCAUUAUUUCCAGCUUUGUGAUACACUUUCAAAGAGUCGGAUUGUUUGGGAAUGCAGUCCAAAAUGGGUGGUAAAUUUCAUCUAAAGCUAAAUAUUGGCGAGAGACCGAUAGCGAACAAGUACCGUGAGGGAAAGAUGAAAAGAACUUUGAAAAGAGAGUUAAACAGUACGUGAAAUUGUCAAAAGGGAAGCGUUUGACACCAGUGUUGUCUUCUCGAAAAUCAAUUAAAAAAGGCCGGAUUUUGUGUUGUAUUGACUUUAUCAGCUUUCUGCACUUUUUUCUUGUCUUUUUUAAUGCACUUUUCGUUUAACAAGUCAACAUCAAUUUCUUUUGUUGUAAAAGGGUCAUUGGAAGGUGGCUUUCUUUUCGGAGAAAGUGUUUAUAGCCUUUGGCCUCUGCAAUCGGAGAGAUUGAGGUCUGCAGCGUAGAUCCUUCGGGGUUAGAUACAUUUGUGCUAAGUUAUAGCCUUUCAUAGACAACUUGUUGACUAUGAUCAGUCAUGUAGCUUACUCGCUUAUGCUAUUUUACCUACGCUUAGGAUGUUGACUGAUAUGUAGUCGUA